AGUGAACGCUGGCGGUAGGCCUAACACAUGCAAGUCGAACGGCAGCACAGAGGAGCUUGCUCCUUGGGUGGCGAGUGGCGGACGGGUGAGGAAUACAUCGGAAUCUACUCUGUCGUGGGGGAUAACGUAGGGAAACUUACGCUAAUACCGCAUACGACCUACGGGCGAAAGCAGGGGAUCUUCGGACCUUGCGCGAUUGAAUGAGCCGAUGUCGGAUUAGCUAGUUGGCGGGGUGAAGGCCCACCAAGGCGACAAUCCGUAGCUGGUCUGAGAGGAUGGUCAGCCACACUGGAACUGAGACACGGUCCAGACUCCUACGGGAGGCAGCAGUGGGGAAUAUUGGACAAUGGGCGCAAGCCUGAUCCAGCCAUACCGCGUGGGUGAAGAAGGCCUUCGGGUUGUAAAGCCCUUUUGUUGGAAAAGAAAUCCAUCUGGUUAAUACCCGGGUGGGAUGACGGUACCCAAAGAAUAAGCACCGGCUAACUUCGUGCCAGCCGCCGCGGUAA
rnacentral:rRNA from 1 species